UGUGAGAAUUAUUGCCAUCUUUGCCAUAAAGAUUAUUUUUCGCCUUUUGUUGUGGAAAAUCAUCUUUAAAAAAAAAAAUCGGUUCUCCUUCUCGUAUGGAUUACUGAUUACUGAGAAUAUGCUCAUUAAUUUGAGGUUUUUCUUUCUUUUGAGCAGAUAACAAGAAUAAAAAUUGGGGUUUAUACUUUGGAUUUUUCUUUGACAGUAUAAUAUUAAUUGAGGUUUUUCUUUCUUUUGAGCAGAUAACAAGAAUGAAAAUUGGGGUUUAUACUU